UCGGCUCUCUUCUCUUUUCCCUGCUCUGCCCGGGGCUGCAGGAGCGCAGGCCUCUCCGGGCGCCCAGCUGCCGCCUCCAUCUCAGGGCACAUAGCCUGGGGCCUGGCGCCCAGAGGCGCCCGCCUUGCUGCUGCCGAUGUGGAAACAGGGGCAGCUGCAGCCUGGCUGGCUCCAGGCUGGGCGCUCCGACCCUCCCCAGAGGGGCCUGAGUGGGCUCACCACCCCCACAGGCUCCAGACCGGGGCAGUGGGCAACCUAAGGCCCCCUUCUCCCCCCUUUCACUGUGCUAGGCACCCCCCCUCAACCCCCCCAUCCCCAACAGCUUCCGCCCAGAGGAAGAGGCCGGGCGGGGGUGUUGCUCUGGCCCAACGAGCAGGUGGUCCCAGAGGUCAGAGGUCAGGGCAGGGGGCCAGGCAGUGUGGACAGCAUUAAGCUUUGGGCUCCGCCUUGGCUGAAGGACCCUGAUCCCGUGUGACGCACUCAGGCCUUCAGCUCCUCCUGUUAUGUCGGACAUUUGCGCUGUAAUGCCCCUCAUCCAUUUGUGCCCCACUGGGGACAUGCGUGGAAUGACCCAUCCCAGAAACCUCACCUUUGAGGACAACACUGGGCUCAUUGAGGUGGGAAUUCAUGUGAUCCUUGACCGAGUAGUGGGCCCAGGCUGGGCAGACAGGGUGUGGCUGGGACAGACAGAAGACCUGGAAGGAUCCCCCAUGCCCCUCCCCAAACAGGGGGGAAAGCCUGGGGAACCUUUUUGUCCAGCCAGCCACAAGGAGGGGUGGCCACCUCCCUCGCCUUGUCCUCCAGGGACUGGGGGUAGGGUGGUAGCAGGCAGCCUGUGUCCUUGCCCACCUGUCCGCCCCUGGAGAACCAGGCCUGAGGCCGGCCGGCAUUGACUGUCUUCCCUCUUGUUUUUGAACUGAGAGUGCAAGAAGUGGAGGAGAGAUGACUUGGCUUCUUGCUGAGUUGCUACCAGCAACUGACUCUCGCAGGAAGAGCGUCUUGGCAGAGCGCUCAAGGCCUGAGCCUCCUGGGUACUGACCCCAAGUUCAGCCUGAAGCCACCCCCCGGGCUUCUAGAAGGUUCUGAAAUGCUUGCUGCACAAGUAGUGCCUCCCCCACUAAGUCUUAGGGCCCUGCCAGGACUCUGACCAGGAGCCCUCAGGGCUGGCUGGCUGGCUGGCUGGCUGAGGUGUCUGGCUGGCAUGGCCCUUACUAGCGUGCCCCCAGUCCCGGGCUGGGUGCUGAGCUGGCAGCUCCACAGCUGCUUUAAGGCCCAGUUAUAAAUAAGCCCUGUGUGGCCGAGUCAUCAAGUUCUACCGCUCCUCCGGGCCAGCUGCAUCACCUCAGUGACCACAGGUGGGGGCUGCCCAGGGCUGGGCCCACCCGACCCUUCUCCCAUGUCAGGCCCCAUGCUGGCCGGACUGAAUGCCUUUGCCGGCGAAUGGGGCAGGAGUGGGAUUUGGGGGAGGGCUCUCGGAUGCGAGCUUUGAGCAUCUGGUGGCUCCUGGCGGGCCCUGGGCCUCCCUCGGCCCAGGCCACAUGUCGCCUUCCUGGAGCCAGCAGUUCUUCAUAAACCGAAACCCGGAGAAGUGAAGUGGCUGUGGCCAAAGCAGCUCCAGGCCCCCAGCCCCCACUCCCACUCCAUCCCCGACAGCCCCAACCCCCGCUCCACAGGGCUUCCUCUUUCCUUCCCUGCAUGGCUCCCCGGCCUCCCACUGGCCAGCCGAGCCCCCGGACACCCUGCUCGCCUUGCACAGUGACCACCCCUGGCACACCAUCCCUCCUCCCCUGCGGCCCACCCCAAGGGUCCCCUUCCCCUCUUCAUCCUAGGACCCUCGCGUCAGGGUGCCUAGGAGUGGCCCCCUGCCGCCGGGCCCAGCCCAUUCCCACAGUUCUCAGUUCCCCUUCGCUCUUGGAAAAGCUCCAACUCCAAUGGCAGCCCCUGGGCUGCGGGGCCCUGCCUGGGGGUGGCUUGCCAGGCACCCUUGGUCUUCAUGGUGGCCUGGAGGGACAGGAGUCCAGGGGCUGUGGUGGAAUCAGAGUACCUGGGGCCUCCUGGAGGACAUGGGAAGCCGCAGCCAUCAUGGUCCUCAAGUUACACUGUGUGGGGGCCCCAUGUCCAGGAUGGAUUUGGGGCAGGGAGAACCCCCUACCCCUGCCCAACUCACCAGCCAGCCUAAGUGUUCAGAAAUUGGUAUCAGGUUGGGGAGGAAGGGAGUGAGACGGCGGGGGAUGACAUCCUCAUGAUUAAUUAGGCCGCCCUGGCCUGCAGCUCACGGCGCUCAGCUCACUAUGAACACGCAGCAGGCUGCUCCCUGAGUGGCCAUUGAACAGAGAGAGGAAAGCAUAGGCUGAAGGACGCACAUGGCUGUGCCAAGGGCCCAUGCUGGGAUGCUGGGAUGCUGGCAGCAAGCUGCCAGGCCCAGUGCCCUGCCGGCUCCCUCUGACAGUAGCUCACUCCAGCUCAUGCCUCGGUGGCCCUCCCAGUCACCUGCUGAGGACAGGAGCAGGGCGAGCCUGAAGUUUAAGGGCAAGCAGGACUGGGACUACAGAACCCCAGAUGGGGCCGCCUGCCUUCGGGUUCAGCCCAGGCCUUGCCAGGAAGGCUCUGCCUGCUGGCAUGCCAGCCGGGGCAAGGCCUGGCCUGAGCCCACUCUGCCCCAGCUGGCUGGCUGGGUCCCCCACAACCAGGCCCUGAAGAACCCCUAGUCCUAUGGGAAAAGCUGAUGGAGUCACCCAGUUUGGAGCUAAGAGGGUCUCAGAGAUGGUGGGCUGCAGGGAGGGGCAGUGAGUACUGCCUGGGCUGGUCCUGGGACCAGGAAGGAGUAUACCAGCCAGAGCUGAGUCAUGUACAUACACACACACACCCGUGUCUGGGCUGUGUAGCAGUUCCCACGGCCUGUCCUUCCUCAGACCUAGUGAA